UCUUAGCCCCGAUAGAAGCGGUAUCCUUUUAUGGAGGGGUUCUCCAUAAAAGAUACAAGCGUAUAGCGGGACAGGUC
rnacentral:sRNA from 1 species